rnacentral:rRNA from 1 species
AGCGAACGCUGGCGGCAGGCUUAACACAUGCAAGUCGAACGGGCAUCUUCGGAUGUCAGUGGCAGACGGGUGAGUAACACGUGGGAACGUACCCUUCGGUUCGGAAUAACUCAGAGAAACUUGAGCUAAUACCGGAUACGCCCUUUUGGGGAAAGGUUUACUGCCGAAGGAUCGGCCCGCGUCUGAUUAGCUUGUUGGUGGGGUAACGGCCUACCAAGGCGACGAUCAGUAGCUGGUCUGAGAGGAUGAUCAGCCACACUGGGACUGAGACACGGCCCAGACUCCUACGGGAGGCAGCAGUGGGGAAUAUUGGACAAUGGGCGCAAGCCUGAUCCAGCCAUGCCGCGUGAGUGAUGAAGGCCUUAGGGUUGUAAAGCUCUUUUGUCCGGGACGAUAAUGACGGUACCGGAAGAAUAAGCCCCGGCUAACUUCGUG